rnacentral:rRNA from 5 species
GGGUUGUGAGGUUAAGCGACUAAGCGUACACGGUGGAUGCCCUGGCAGUCAGAGGCGAUGAAGGGCGUGCUAAUCUGCGAUAAGCGCCGGUAAGGUGAUAUGAACCGUUAUAACCGGCGAUACCCGAAUGGGGAAACCCAGUGUGACUCGUCACACUAUCAUUAACUGAAUCCAUAGGUUAAUGAGGCGAACCGGGGGAACUGAAACAUCUAAGUACCCCGAGGAAAAGAAAUCAACCGAGAUUCCCCCAGUAGCGGCGAGCGAACGGGGAGGAGCCCAGAGCCUGAAUCAGCAUGUGUGUUAGUGGAAGCGUCUGGAAAGGCGCGCGAUACAGGGUGACAGCCCCGUACACAAAAGCGCAUGUGCUGUGAGCUCGAUGAGUAGGGCGGGACACGUGGUAUCCUGUCUGAAUAUGGGGGGACCAUCCUCCAAGGCUAAAUACUCCUGACUGACCGAUAGUGAACCAGUACCGUGAGGGAAAGGCGAAAAGAACCCCGGCGAGGGGAGUGAAAAAGAACCUGAAACCGUGUACGUACAAGCAGUGGGAGCACCCUUUGGGGUGUGACUGCGUACCUUUUGUAUAAUGGGUCAGCGACUUAUAUUCUGUAGCAAGGUUAACCGUAUAGGGGAGCCGUAGGGAAACCGAGUCUUAACCGGGCGUUAAGUUGCAGGGUAUAGACCCGAAACCCGGUGAUCUAGCCAUGGGCAGGUUGAAGGUUGGGUAACACUAACUGGAGGACCGAACCGACUAAUGUUGAAAAAUUAGCGGAUGACCUGUGGCUGGGGGUGAAAGGCCAAUCAAACCGGGAGAUAGCUGGUUCUCCCCGAAAGCUAUUUAGGUAGCGCCUCGUGAAUUCAUCUCCGGGGGUAGAGCACUGUUUCGGCUAGGGGGCCAUCCCGGCUUACCAACCCGAUGCAAACUGCGAAUACCGGAGAAUGUUAUCACGGGAGACACACGGCGGGUGCUAACGUCCGUCGUGAAGAGGGAAACAACCCAGACCGCCAGCUAAGGUCCCAAAGUCAUGGUUAAGUGGGAAACGAUGUGGGAAGGCCCAGACAGCCAGGAUGUUGGCUUAGAAGCAGCCAUCAUUUAAAGAAAGCGUAAUAGCUCACUGGUCGAGUCGGCCUGCGCGGAAGAUGUAACGGGGCUAAACCAUGCACCGAAGCUGCGGCAGCGACACUGUGUGUUGUUGGGUAGGGGAGCGUUCUGUAAGCCUGUGAAGGUGUGUCGUGAGGCAUGCUGGAGGUAUCAGAAGUGCGAAUGCUGACAUAAGUAACGAUAAAGCGGGUGAAAAGCCCGCUCGCCGGAAGACCAAGGGUUCCUGUCCAACGUUAAUCGGGGCAGGGUGAGUCGACCCCUAAGGCGAGGCCGAAAGGCGUAGUCGAUGGGAAACGGGUUAAUAUUCCCGUACUUGGUGUUACUGCGAAGGGGGGACGGAGAAGGCUAUGUUGGCCGGGCGACGGUUGUCCCGGUUUAAGCGUGUAGGUGUGUGUUCCAGGUAAAUCCGGUUCACUUUAACACUGAGGCGUGACGACGAGGCACUACGGUGCUGAAGCAACAAAUGCCCUGCUUCCAGGAAAAGCCUCUAAGCAUCAGGUAACAUCAAAUCGUACCCCAAACCGACACAGGUGGUCAGGUAGAGAAUACCAAGGCGCUUGAGAGAACUCGGGUGAAGGAACUAGGCAAAAUGGUGCCGUAACUUCGGGAGAAGGCACGCUGACACGUAGGUGAAGUGAUUUACUCAUGGAGCUGAAGUCAGUCGAAGAUACCAGCUGGCUGCAACUGUUUAUUAAAAACACAGCACUGUGCAAACACGAAAGUGGACGUAUACGGUGUGACGCCUGCCCGGUGCCGGAAGGUUAAUUGAUGGGGUCAGCGCAAGCGAAGCUCCUGAUCGAAGCCCCGGUAAACGGCGGCCGUAACUAUAACGGUCCUAAGGUAGCGAAAUUCCUUGUCGGGUAAGUUCCGACCUGCACGAAUGGCGUAAUGAUGGCCAGGCUGUCUCCACCCGAGACUCAGUGAAAUUGAACUCGCUGUGAAGAUGCAGUGUACCCGCGGCAAGACGGAAAGACCCCGUGAACCUUUACUAUAGCUUGACACUGAACAUUGAGCCUUGAUGUGUAGGAUAGGUGGGAGGCUUUGAAGCGUGGACGCCAGUCUGCGUGGAGCCGACCUUGAAAUACCACCCUUUAAUGUUUGAUGUUCUAACGUGGACCCGUAAUCCGGGUUGCGGACAGUGUCUGGUGGGUAGUUUGACUGGGGCGGUCUCCUCCUAAAGAGUAACGGAGGAGCACGAAGGUUGGCUAAUCCUGGUCGGACAUCAGGAGGUUAGUGCAAUGGCAUAAGCCAGCUUGACUGCGAGCGUGACGGCGCGAGCAGGUGCGAAAGCAGGUCAUAGUGAUCCGGUGGUUCUGAAUGGAAGGGCCAUCGCUCAACGGAUAAAAGGUACUCCGGGGAUAACAGGCUGAUACCGCCCAAGAGUUCAUAUCGACGGCGGUGUUUGGCACCUCGAUGUCGGCUCAUCACAUCCUGGGGCUGAAGUAGGUCCCAAGGGUAUGGCUGUUCGCCAUUUAAAGUGGUACGCGAGCUGGGUUUAGAACGUCGUGAGACAGUUCGGUCCCUAUCUGCCGUGGGCGCUGGAGAACUGAGGGGGGCUGCUCCUAGUACGAGAGGACCGGAGUGGACGCAUCACUGGUGUUCGGGUUGUCAUGCCAAUGGCACUGCCCGGUAGCUAAAUGCGGAAGAGAUAAGUGCUGAAAGCAUCUAAGCACGAAACUUGCCCCGAGAUGAGUUCUCCCUGAGACUUAGAGUCUCCUGAAGGAACGUUGAAGACGACGACGUUGAUAGGCCGGGUGUGUAAGCGCAGCGAUGCGUUGAGCUAACCGGUACUAAUGAACCGUGAGGCUUAACCUUACAACGCCGAAG